AAUCUUUGAACGCACAUUGCGCCCCGGGGUAUUCCCCAGGGCAUGCGUGGGUGAGCGAUAUUUACUCUCAAACCUCCGGUUUGGUCCUGCUUCGGCCUAAUAUCAACGGCGCUAGAAUAAGUUUUAGCCCCAUCCUUUUUCCUCACCCUCGUAAGACUACCCGCUGAACUUAAGCAUAUCAAUAAGCGGAGGAAAAGAAACCAACAGGGAUUGCCUCAGUAACGGCGAGUGAAGCGGCAAAAGCUCAAAUUUGAAAUCCCCCGGGAAUUGUAAUUUGAAGAGAUUUGGGUCCGGCCGGCAGGGGUUAAGUCCACUGGAAAGUGGCGCCACAGAGGGUGACAGCCCCGUGAACCCCUUCAACGCCCUCAUCCCAGAUCUCCAAGAGUCGAGUUGUUUGGGAAUGCAGCUCUAAGUGGGUGGUAAAUUCCAUCUAAAGCUAAAUACCGGCGAGAGACCGAUAGCGAACAAGUACAGUGAUGGAAAGAUGAAAAGCACUUUGAAAAGAGAGUGAAAAAGUACGUGAAAUUGUUGAAAGGGAAGGGCUUGCAAGCAGACACUUAACUGGGCCAGCAUCGGGGCGGCGGGAAACAAAACCACCGGGGAAUGUACCUUUCGAGGAUUAUAACCCCGGUCUCUAAUUUCCUUUGUUGCCCCGAGGCCUGCAAUCUAAGGAUGCUGGCGUAAUGGUUGCAAGUCGCCCGUCUUGAAACACGGACCAAGGAGUCUAACAAUCAUGCAAGUGUUUGGGCCCAAAACCCAUACGCGCAAUGAAA
rnacentral:rRNA from 1 species